rnacentral:rRNA from 1 species
UGGUGGAGUGAUUUGUCUGGUUAAUUCCGUUAACGAACGAGACCUCGACCUGCUAAAUAGUUCGGCGAAUCCUUCGGGGUUCGUGCGUAACUUCUUAGAGGGACUAUCGGUGGUUAGCCGAUGGAAGUUCGAGGCAAAAACA